UUGAAUUGGAUAUAUUUACACAAGGUCUGAAAAUAUUGGAUAUUUUAUAAGAAAAUUUAUUGAUGAACCUAAAAGAUCUAGGUAUAUGGUUUAUCAGUCUGUGUAGUAUUGUCAGCUGUAGGAACAUUCAAAUAUAAUAAAAUAUAAUUGCAGAGUCUUCAUAGGCUAAAUUUCGUUUUUUAUUCUUUUUUAUUUAUUUUUUUAGUAGUAGAUUCCUUUGUCUCCAGUUGUUCUGUAAAAACAUAUUGCUGUCUUGAGUUAUCUUGUUAUUUUGUUUUUCAAUCAGAUGUCGCUUUAUUGUUUUAAAUUCAGGAAUGUUAUUAUGAAUUCUAUUUUUUGUCAAUCUUGUUAUUCUUAUUAUACUAUCUGCCUGGUUGCUCUGAACUUGAAGUUUUUUCUUUUUGAUUAUAUGACGCAAGAUUUGUUUUUUAUUACCUGACCAUUGUAGCUUGUAUAUUUGACUUGAAAAUGAGACCAUUUUGAAGGUUUUGAAAAUAGUCGUCAUCAAAUAAAGAUUGUAGGGAAAGAAGGACUUUUUCUCCAUAUUCUAAAUCGAAUAAAAAUUGAAUUCA